UUUUUUUUCUUUUUUUUUUAAUAGGAAAGAGAGCAUCAAAAAGAGAAAAUUACGGCAACUGGGAUGGAAAUAAACAAUCGAAAUUUUAAAUUUUGCUUUCCAUGUUUGGUGAUAAUUCCAGUUUCUUUGGAUUUGUAGUGAAUUUUUCUUUUUCUUAAUAAGAAGGAAAGCAAAAUUAUUGCAACUACAACGGAAAUGAACGGUCAAAUUUUAGAUUUUGCUCUCAUCUUUCGAAAUAUCGUCAGGUUUAUGUUAAGUAUUCAAGACUUCUACUCUCAUCUUUGAAAAUAUUGUCAGAUUUAUAUUAAGUAUUCAAGAUUUUUUUGGAAAGUAGGGUGACAAGUAAAGACGGAGUAGAGUACUAUAGUCAGAAAGAAGAAGAUACAUUCAGAACAGAGUAUUAUAGUCAUGGACUAUAUUAAUGGCUAAUGAAGAAUUUUACCCUUUUUCUCAUUUCCAUUUGAAUGUGAUCCGAUGGGUAACAGAUAAGGUUGCUAUGGGAAUAAUGUAUGAAAUUGAAUCAUUUUAGGAAUAUUUUUUGUGAAGGGAGUUAUUUAGGCAAAUAACUCUGAAUCUUGGGCAAACUGCAUCCAUCUUCCCAUUCUUAUUUUCACUAUUAGGAAAGUAGUAAUUCAUACAAAGCAGUAGUGAUAUCCCAGAAAUCACAAAGUUCAGAAACAGCUUUGUGAGCUGGGUCACAUUUGAAACAUAAAAAAUCCCAAAAUGACUACGAACAAUUGAUCUUCCAGGACACAGAGAGGAAGGCAGGACAAACUUCAUGUAUAUGCGCUACAACUAAUCACGACUAGUAUUUUUACGUUUACUAGCACGAAGGUCCAGGAAAUAUCCUUUGGGGUUGUCCUGAAAGGCAUCCCUACGGAUACGAGAGUCCCUUCCAGGGGCUUUCAUCAUCUUCCAGUUCGAUGGCUUAGUGCCGCCGCCGCCGCGAAAAUACACAAACAGCACAACUAACCCUGCUGCGACUAGAAACGGUGCAUUAACACGGAGCCAGUGUUGUGGUGGGAAGACCUCUUCCAACCUGCCUAACAAAACCAAACCAAAUUUUUCCGACAGCAAAAACAGUUGCUUCAGCUUCACUUGCAGAUUGUUCAUCAUCUCAUCUGCUCCCAUUGCUUUCAACUUUGCCAGUGUGCUGUUCACCAUAAUCAUGCUUUCUUCCUCAAAUCCCUUCAGUUUCUCCUCAAAUCCCUUCAGUUUCUCCAGCAGAUUGCUGAUCAUACUGAUCAUACUCUCAGCUCCCAUCUUUUAUUCUGUGUGCUACCCAGUGAAAGGACUCGGUAAAAAUCUGCUUCGACUUCUAAUUAAAAGCUUGAAGAACCUUUUGUGUUUGGCAAAAUCCAAUCAAGUGAGGGCGCUAGCCAUAAUAAGCUUGAUCAAGUUGUGAUUUUCUUUAUACCCACGUGAAGGUGAGAAUUUUCGGUGCACUAGUCGUAAAAGCGUUUCACUUCACUAGUAGCACUCACUCCUCAGUACUGCCACCAAAAAAGCUUCUUUAUUCGGCACAGCAGUGUAGCUAGCGAAGCAAGCAUUAUUUAUUGGAUCCGCACAUUAAUCCGGGACCCAGGUGUCUCCUAUCAUUCAUCGUCUUUGUUUAUUUUAGCCACUUCUUACUUUUCAACCAAAGAAAAAGAAAAGGAUUUAAAAACUAAGAAGACCAGAGAAGUCUUUCAAAAUUCAAAUACACGAGGUAGAUGAAGAAAAAAGGCCGGGGGUAGAGUUCAACAAUAUGAGGUCCCAUCUCAAGAAGAAGGAGAGCAGACUAAUUUGUCCCCCAAAAAUUCUUCUCAGAUUAUUAAUCAGCAACCACGAUUACCCAAACUACUAUUAAAG
rnacentral:lncRNA from 1 species